AUUCCUGCAUCCUUUUUUUACGAGCACCUUUCGUUCUCCUUCGGCGGGGCAACCUGCCGCUGGAACUUAACAAAACCUUUUUUGCAUCUAGCAUUACCUGUUCUGAUACAAACAAUCGUUACAACUUUCAACAAUGGAUCUCUUGGCUCUGGCAUCGAUGAAGAACGCAGCGAAAUGCGAUAAGUAGUGUGAAUUGCAGAAUUCAGUGAAUCAUCGAAUCUUUGAACGCACAUUGCGCCCCUUGGUAUUCCAUGGGGCAUGCCUGUUCGAGCGUCAUCUACACCCUCAAGCUCUGCUUGGUGUUGGGCGUCUGUCCCGCCUUCGCGCGCGGACUCGCCCCAAAUUCAUUGGCAGCGGUCCUUGCCUCCUCUCGCGCAGCACAAUUGCGUCUGCGGGGGGGCGUGGCCCGCGUCCACGAAGCAACAUUACCGUCUUUGACCUCGGAUCAGGUAGGGAUACCCGCUGAACUUAAGCAUAUC
rnacentral:rRNA from 1 species